CUGAUGACUUCAUGGGCUGGAAAAAUCUGAUUUGGGUCUUUAAAUCCCAGGGUCUCCAGUCCGCUGAAAUCUCCCCAGCCCCCCAGCUCUCUGCUUCUGCAGUCUCUGCCCCAGGCUGAGGGCAUCCGGGCGGCCCUGGCUACACCAAGGCCCCGUCUCAGCUCUGCAGUGAGCGCCUGACGGAGGAGCUGAGUGGUGGUGGGGCCCGGGCCCGUGGGGGACGAGGAGGUCAGAGGAGCAAAAGGGACAAAUAGAACAAGGGAGAGAAGCAACUUUGAUGCCCCUCCCCACCCGCCCCGGAGGAGGAGGUCCCAGAGAACAGGCCGCCCACCUCGAGGGCUGACCACCCUCGUCUUUCACACUGCUACGGUGCUCGUUGUUCGGAUCCGUGAGUCGACCAGAACCCCAGCAUCACUACCACACUGCAAUUUGCUUCUGCCUCAAUGAUGAACAGAUUAGCACAGCGCACCAUCGAGCCACAGCCAGGAAGUGGCCUGAAACCUCAUGCAGGACCUGAGCAACCCAAGCAGGGUCCCGCCGUCCCUCACUUCCGGAUGACACAGAGGGAGAUGAAGUUGAAGCAGACAGCCCACGAGCCUGUGGUCAUGUCAUCCUCAGAUGAUAAAGAUUGGGAAGCCAAGGAAAAUACAUCUACAGUUUUGCCAAGAUCUUUCUCUGUUUCUACAAAAUAAUCUCACUGAUUAACUCCAGAAGUAGAGACAAUUAGAGUGAGACAAAAGACAUGAGCUUCUUAUCUCCAAGAACAUAAACAGUACAUGUCACAGGUGACCUCACUCAGGGGUGGCAGCAAGGUGAAGACAUAAUGGCACGUAAAGCCUGCACACCUCUGUUGACACAGUGACUGGUGGCCCAGCCUGUGCCACCAUUGGCUGUUCAGCAGCCAGGACACGAGGGUGUGGUCUCCUAAGACAAUACCUCAACAUUACUUUUAGAAAAAGGACCUUAGUUCCUGAGCCUAUGGAUAUUCUAUGGAGUAAAAGGUCACAAGCAAAACCAUCAAGAGGAAAAUUAUGGCUAAAAUAGAAAUCACAACUGUGAGAGUUGUUUCUGAAAGGAGGUGAAGGAGCAUAGGUAGACUACUGUACCUCUCAAUUUCCUUAGCAACAACCCAAAUAAAGGACAAAAGGCAGGUCAAUCGGGUUAGCCUGUAAUCUGACCCAAGGACAAAUUAAAAGUACAUUUCUUUUUCACAAAUGAAACUCUAACAGAAGAUAAUAAUCACAGCUGAGGACAUGAAUGACCAACGCCCUCGAACUCAGAGUAAGAGAUUGUCCGCCGGCCAUGGAGACAGCCUUGCCAGCAAAGGGCCCUGGGAGUCUCAAUUUCCUGCUUAGGGUGGUUGUAGCAAAGUCUAAGCACAUGAACUAUAUUUUCUAUACCAAAAGCUCCUUCUAUAGGACAAGCACCUACACAAGCUCUGGCUCAGUCCUGAUGCAGGCCCAGCUCACAGUGAAGAGGAGCCAAAGUCUUGCCCAGAUAAUGUUGCCAGGUUCUGGGGUGCUGGAGUCUCCUCCUAGAGGUGGUCUCUAGGUUCUUUCUGUUCUGAACAAAGAAUUGGACAGAACAAACACAAACGGUAGCAAGGUUUUAUAUUUAUUAAAGGUAGGGAAAGAAACAUGCUCUGCAGAGUGAGUUUGGGCCAAGAAAAAGUAGGGGAAAAGGUACACUCUACAACAUGAGAAUGGACUGCUGUAGCCCUGGGCUCAACAGCAACCAUCUUUUUGCAUCUCCCUCUUCUCAGGGAGGUCUAGGCCAUCCUAUCCAAACCUCGAAUUCUCAUGAGAAGUCCAUGUGCAGGGCUUUGGAAACUGUUCUGCCCCUGUGUCCUGGAACUUUAUAAUUAACAGG